UACGUAGGGGCCCAGCGUUGUCCGGAAUCAUUGGGCGUAAAGCGCGCGUAGGCGGCCAGACAAGUCCGGUGUGAAAGUCACAGGCUCAACCUGUGAAUGCCGCUGGAAACUGUCUGGCUAGAGUCCGGAAGGGGCGGGUGGAAUUCCUGGUGUAGCGGUGAAAUGCGCAGAUAUCAGGAAGAACACCGGUGGCGAAAGCGUUCUGCUAGACCUGUACUGACACUGAGGGACGAAAGCUAGGGGAGCGAAUGGG
rnacentral:rRNA from 1 species